UUUUGACUAAAAUAUUUAUUUUAAAAGAUUUAUGUGGAUAUGGAUGAUUCUGUGAUUCAUCCUUUGUUGGAAAUCAAAGGAUGAGAAGGGUGAUAUACUAACUUGAAAAUAAAUAAGGGAUUAAAUUGAAAUUUUGCAACUCAUGCUCUAAGCACUCAUCACUUUCGCAAGAAACUUUCUGCAGUCUAUUCACGUGCACACACUCGCACACAAUUUUCUCUUGCUUGGUACCAACACAGGCACACCACACUUGUAUUUAUACUAUGCUAAGUCGUCAACAAUCAAAUGAAAUUUAAGCCAUGAGUUGAGUUGAUGAAGCACAGAGUAAGCUUCAAGGUCGGAGCUUUCAUGGCGGUGCAGAGAAGUUUCUUCAAUUGCUGCCGUAUCUAGAAUUUUCUGCAAUAUCAAGGAACUUCCCACAAAUAAACAAAAGGCAUUGAUGAUAUAGUUUCAUCCUUAACUUUGCUAACAACGAAUGAACUUUCUCUACCCUAAAUGUCAUUUGUUUUUGUCUU
rnacentral:lncRNA from 1 species